rnacentral:rRNA from 1 species
UGCCAGCCGCCGCGGUAAUACGUAAGUUGCAAGCGUUAUCCGGAUUUAUUGGGCAUAAAGAGUGCGUAGGCGGUAUCUUAAGUCAGGUGUAAAAUCCCACAGCUCAACUGUGGUUAGCAUUUGAUACUGAGAUACUAGAGACUAGGAGAGGAAAGCGGAACUCACAGUGUAGCGGUGAAAUGCGUAGAUAUUGUGGGGAACACCAGUGGCGAGGGCGGCUUUCUGGACUAGUUCUGACGCUGAGGCACGAAAGCAUGGGGAGCGAACGGGAUUAGAUA